AGAGUUUGAUCCUGGCUCAGAAUCAACGCUGGCGGCGCGCUUAACACAUGCAAGUCGCACGAGAAAGGGAGCAAUCCUAAGUACAGUGGCGUACGGGUGAGUAACACGUGGAUCAUCUACUUUGGUGGGGAAUACCCCCGGGAAACUGGGGACAAUUCCGCAUAAGCUCGAAAGAGGAAAGCCGAAAGGCGCCGAAGGAG
rnacentral:rRNA from 1 species